UCCGGUUCUUCACCAGCAGUCUCCCUAGAGUGCCCACCUUUACGUGCUGGUAACUAAGGAUAAGGGUUGCGCUCGUUACGGGACUUAACCCAACAUCUCACAACACGAGCUGACGACAGCCAUGCAGCACCUGUCUCUAGGUUCCUUGCGGCACAACCGCAUCUCUGCAGUCUUCCUAGGAUGUCAAGGGUAGGUAAGGUUCUUCGCGUUGCAUCGAAUUAAACCACAUGCUCCACCGCUUGUGCGGGCCCCCGUCAAUUCCUUUGAGUUUUAACCUUGCGGCCGUACUCCCCAGGCGGAAGACUUAUCGCGUUAGCUUCGAUACUAAUCAGUCAUGCUGAACAACAUCUAGUCUUCAUCGUUUACAGCGUGGACUAC
rnacentral:misc_RNA from 1 species